rnacentral:rRNA from 1 species
AAGUCGUAACAAGGUCUCCGUAGGUGAACCUGCGGAGGGAUCAUUACCGAGUUCUCGCCCCUCGCGGGGUAGACCUCCCACCCACUGUUAUCACUACCGUCGUUGCUUUGGCGGGCCGCCAGGCCCUGCCGGCCGCCGGCCUUAGCUGGCGCGCGCCCGCCAGAGGCUCCGCAAACACUGGAUGUUAGUGCCGUCUGAGUCAUACAUAAAUAGUUAAAACUUUCAACAACGGAUCUCUUGGUUCUGGCAUCGAUGAAGAACGCAGCGAAAUGCGAUAAGUAAUGUGAAUUGCAGAAUUCAGUGAAUCAUCGAAUCUUUGAACGCACCUUGCGCCCGCCAGUACUCUGGCGGGCAUGCCUGUUCGAGCGUCAUUUCAACCCUCAAGCCCUGCUUGGUGUUGGGGCCCUACGGCUGCCGUAGGCCCUGAAAGGAAGUGGCGGGCUCGCUACAACUCCGAGCGUAGUAGAAUCCUAUCUCGCUAGGGAGGUGCGGCGUGCUCCUGCCGUUAAAGACCCCAUCUUUAACCAAGGUUGACCUCGGAUCAGGUAGGAAUACCCGCUGAACUUAA